UACGUAGGGACCGAGCGUUGUCCGGAAUCAUUGGGCGUAAAGAGCGUGUAGGCGGCCACUUAAGUCCUGCGUGAAAUCUUGCGGCUCAACCGCAAGCGGUCGUGGGAAACUGGGUGGCUAGAGUGUGGUAGGGGAGAUCGGAAUUCCUGGUGUAGCGGUGAAAUGCGCAGAUAUCAGGAGGAACACCGGUGGCGAAGGCGGAUCUCUGGGCCAUUACUGACGCUGAGGAGCGAAAGCGUGGGGAGCGAACAGG
rnacentral:rRNA from 1 species